rnacentral:lncRNA from 1 species
UAUUGCUGUUGUAGUCGAUCCUUUCCCAACUCUUCUGCCUGAGCAGGCCCUGUAUCAUCUGUUCUCACACAGCAUCUACAUGUUCAGACUGUUAAUGAACUACCUCUUCAGACUAACUAAGCAUGCACCACCAGCUACGGCUUUGGAAAGUGAAAGGACUGGAAAUUUGCCAUCCUGAAGGUCAACUGUGCUCUUGAGAAAUGGGGUGGAAUGGAGGAGAGUAACAGCAGAAAUGUUGGAAAUGGAAGCUAAAUGUUGAAAAUUCAAGAGGACUGCAGAUAUGAAGCUUUCUGAGGAACUGAUUGCUGCAGCUGGGAUGUGGGUUUGUAGCUGCACUGCAUGGAUGUGUGGGAUUUGCAGGACUUUCAACUGUACAUUUAGAGAAGGAUUAAACAUUUGGAGAAGACUGCUGAAAGGAGGGCAAGCUCACUGCCUGCACUUCAGUUAUUUUUUCAGUAGUCACUGGACACUUAUGUAAAGCUUCAACAAUCUUUUUCUUGUUGUUUUAAUUAAACUUAAAGCAGUUCUGCUGCUCUCUAUCUACUGCUUUCUCUGAAAGCAGAUGAACUGACUGAAUACAGUGUUCUUUUCUGGUACUGAAUUAUAAUGCUUCAUAACAUGAGACCACUAACAGAGUACUUUAAAUAAUGUCAACCUAGUUUACAGGGAAUCUAAUUCAGAUGGAUACAGCUUAAAUUUUACACAACACAGAUAGUGGUUUUUAUUUUUAUCCUCUGUUGUAAUGAAAAUUUGUACCAACAGUUUUAAACUUUUAAUCUAAGAAGGUUGUCAGUCUACAGAUUGGUCAAAAGUAGGACAAAAAUAAAUUUCUGACCCUUCAGCA